UUAAGCGACUAAGCGUACACGGUGGAUGCCCUGGCAGUCAGAGGCGAUGAAGGACGUGCUAAUCUGCGAUAAGCGUCGGUAAGGUGAUAUGAACCGUUAUAACCGGCGAUUUCCGAAUGGGGAAACCCAGUGUGUUUCGACACACUAUCAUUAACUGAAUCCAUAGGUUAAUGAGGCGAACCGGGGGAACUGAAACAUCUAAGUACCCCGAGGAAAAGAAAUCAACCGAGAUUCCCCCAGUAGCGGCGAGCGAACGGGGAGCAGCCCAGAGCCUGAAUCAGUAUGUGUGUUAGUGGAAGCGUCUGGAAAGGCGCGCGAUACAGGGUGACAGCCCCGUACACAAAAAUGCACAUGCUGUGAGCUCGAUGAGUAGGGCGGGACACGUGGUAUCCUGUCUGAAUAUGGGGGGACCAUCCUCCAAGGCUAAAUACUCCUGACUGACCGAUAGUGAACCAGUACCGUGAGGGAAAGGCGAAAAGAACCCCGGCGAGGGGAGUGAAAAAGAACCUGAAACCGUGUACGUACAAGCAGUGGGAGCACGCUUAGGCGUGUGACUGCGUACCUUUUGUAUAAUGGGUCAGCGACUUAUAUUCUGUAGCAAGGUUAACCGAAUAGGGGAGCCGAAGGGAAACCGAGUCUUAACUGGGCGUUAAGUUGCAGGGUAUAGACCCGAAACCCGGUGAUCUAGCCAUGGGCAGGUUGAAGGUUGGGUAACACUAACUGGAGGACCGAACCGACUAAUGUUGAAAAAUUAGCGGAUGACUUGUGGCUGGGGGUGAAAGGCCAAUCAAACCGGGAGAUAGCUGGUUCUCCCCGAAAGCUAUUUAGGUAGCGCCUCGUGAAUUCAUCUCCGGGGGUAGAGCACUGUUUCGGCAAGGGGGUCAUCCCGACUUACCAACCCGAUGCAAACUGCGAAUACCGGAGAAUGUUAUCACGGGAGACACACGGCGGGUGCUAACGUCCGUCGUGAAGAGGGAAACAACCCAGACCGCCAGCUAAGGUCCCAAAGUCAUGGUUAAGUGGGAAACGAUGUGGGAAGGCCCAGACAGCCAGGAUGUUGGCUUAGAAGCAGCCAUUCAUUUAAAGAAAGCGUAAUAGCUCACUUGGUCGAGUCGGCCUUGCGUCGGAAGAUGUAACGGGGCUAAACCAUGCACCGUAAGCUGCGGCAGCGACGCUGAUGCGUUGUUGGGUAGGGGAGCGUUCUGUAAGCCUGCGAAGGUGUGCUGUGAGGCAUGCUGGAGGUAUCAGAAGUGCGAAUGCUGACAUAAGUAACGAUAAAGCGGGUGAAAAGCCCGCUCGCCGGAUGACCAAGGGUUCCUGUCCAACGUUAAUCGGGGCAGGGUGAGUCGACCCCUAAGGCGAGGCCGAAAGGCGUAGUCGAUGGGAAACAGGUUAAUAUUCCUGUACUUGGUGUUACUGCGAAGGGGGGACGGAGAAGGCUAUGUUGGCCGGGCGACGGUUGUCCCGGUUUAAGCGUGUAGGCUGGUUUUCCAGGCAAAUCCGGAAAAUCAAGGCUGAGGCGUGAUGACGAGGCACUCGGUGCUGAAGCAACAAAUGCCCUGCUUCCAGGAAAAGCCUCUAAGCAUCAGGUAACAUCAAAUCGUACCCCAAACCGACACAGGUGGUCAGGUAGAGAAUACCAAGGCGCUUGAGAGAACUCGGGUGAAGGAACUAGGCAAAAUGGUGCCGUAACUUCGGGAGAAGGCACGCUGAUAUGUAGGUGAAGUCCCUCGCGGAUGGAGCUGAAAUCAGUCGAAGAUACCAGCUGGCUGCAACUGUUUAUUAAAAACACAGCACUGUGCAAACACGUAAGUGGACGUAUACGGUGUGACGCCUGCCCGGUGCCGGAAGGUUAAUUGAUGGGGUUAGCGCAAGCGAAGCUCUUGAUCGAAGCCCCGGUAAACGGCGGCCGUAACUAUAACGGUCCUAAGGUAGCGAAAUUCCUUGUCGGGUAAGUUCCACCUGCACGAAUGGCGUAAUGAUGGCCAGGCUGUCUCCACCCGAGACUCAGUGAAAUUGAACUCGCUGUGAAGAUGCAGUGUACCCGCGGCAAGACGGAAAGACCCCGUGAACCUUUACUAUAGCUUGACACUGAACAUUGAGCCUUGAUGUGUAGGAUAGGUGGGAGGCUUUGAAGUGUGGACGCCAGUCUGCAUGGAGCCGACCUUGAAAUACCACCCUUUAAUGUUUGAUGUUCUAACGUUGACCCGUAAUCCGGGUUGCGGACAGUGUCUGGUGGGUAGUUUGACUGGGGCGGUCUCCUCCUAAAGAGUAACGGAGGAGCACGAAGGUUGGCUAAUCCUGGUCGGACAUCAGGAGGUUAGUGCAAUGGCAUAAGCCAGCUUGACUGCGAGCGUGACGGCGCGAGCAGGUGCGAAAGCAGGUCAUAGUGAUCCGGUGGUUCUGAAUGGAAGGGCCAUCGCUCAACGGAUAAAAGGUACUCCGGGGAUAACAGGCUGAUACCGCCCAAGAGUUCAUAUCGACGGCGGUGUUUGGCACCUCGAUGUCGGCUCAUCACAUCCUGGGGCUGAAGUAGGUCCCAAGGGUAUGGCUGUUCGCCAUUUAAAGUGGUACGCGAGCUGGGUUUAGAACGUCGUGAGACAGUUCGGUCCCUAUCUGCCGUGGGCGCUGGAGAACUGAGGGGGGCUGCUCCUAGUACGAGAGGACCGGAGUGGACGCAUCACUGGUGUUCGGGUUGUCAUGCCAAUGGCACUGCCCGGUAGCUAAAUGCGGAAGAGAUAAGUGCUGAAAGCAUCUAAGCACGAAACUUGCCCCGAGAUGAGUUCUCCCUGACUCCUUGAGAGUCCUGAAGGAACGUUGAAGACGACGACGUUGAUAGGCCGGGUGUGUAAGCGCAGCGAUGCGUUGAGCUAACCGGUACUAAUGAACCGUGAGGCUUAACCUU
rnacentral:rRNA from 1 species